GUAACAAGGUCUCCGUUGGUGAACCAGCGGAGGGAUCAUUACUGAGUUUACGCUCUAUAACCCUUUGUGAACAUACCUAUAACUGUUGCUUCGGCGGGUAGGGUCUCCGUGACCCUCCCGGCCUCCCGCCCCCGGGCGGGUCGGCGCCCGCCGGAGGAUAACCAAACUCUGAUUUAACGACGUUUCUUCUGAGUGGUACAAGCAAAUAAUCAAAACUUUUAACAACGGAUCUCUUGGUUCUGGCAUCGAUGAAGAACGCAGCGAAAUGCGAUAAGUAAUGUGAAUUGCAGAAUUCAGUGAAUCAUCGAAUCUUUGAACGCACAUUGCGCCCGCCAGCAUUCUGGCGGGCAUGCCUGUUCGAGCGUCAUUUCAACCCUCAAGCUCUGCUUGGUGUUGGGGCCCUACAGCUGAUGUAGGCCCUCAAAGGUAGUGGCGGACCCUCCCGGAGCCUCCUUUGCGUAGUAACUUUACGUCUCGCACUGGGGUCCGGAGGGACUCUUGCCGUAAAACCCCCCAAUUUUCCAAAGGUUGACCUCGGAUCAGGUAGGAAUACCCGCUGAACUUAAGC
rnacentral:rRNA from 1 species